rnacentral:tRNA from 1 species
UAAUUCAAAAAUCAAGAAUUUUUUUAAAUAAAAGCAUGAUAAAUACAAUAAACAUUACAUUUGUUCCAA